GAUCAUGGCUCAGGAUGAACGCUAGCUACAGGCUUAACACAUGCAAGUCGAGGGGCAGCAUGGUCUUAGCUUGCUAAGGCCGAUGGCGACCGGCGCACGGGUGAGUAACGCGUAUCCAACCUGCCUUACACUCUUGGACGGCCUUCUGAAAGGGAGAUUAAUACAAGAUGUUAUCAUGAGUAAGCAUUUUCGCAUGAUUAAAGGUUUACCGGUGUAAGAUGGGGAUGCGUUCCA
rnacentral:rRNA from 1 species